GAUACUUCAUAAAAAUGUUUUGAAAGCACUUACAGGUUAAUUAAACCAAGUAUUU
rnacentral:tRNA from 1 species